AUGGACCCUCUCGUCGACGCCGUCGAACGGCCCGUCGACAUGCAAGCCGGCCGACCUGAUGAUCUCGUCCCGACAGCCAAGGACGGCGACCCACUCUUCGGUCUCGGCGCCGAGACCAGCAGCGUCGACGUCGCCGCCUCCAUCGCUGGCGACCUAGACGUCGCUAUCGCCGUUGACGAUGGUGUCCUGUCCCUGGACGUGCCAGAUAGCUUCACCGGGCCUCUCGUCGACGGCGUGCAGCUCCAGGACGUCGCCGCAGAUGACAACGAGGACGACAACGACGACCUCCUGUACCUCGACGGCGUGCAGCUCCAGGAGGACGUUGACAACGACGACGACCCCCUGGUCGUAGUAUUGCCAGCAGUAGAAGGUGGGCCUCUCGAUCUCGUUGUCAUUCCCGCAGACGGCGACGAGCCGGAGAACACCGAGGCUGAGCCGGUCUAUGACUAUGAUAAACUGCGGAGAAUCGUCGCCAACUCCAAACACGGGGUCCUGCCCCUGGACACCGCCGAACACGACGGCGAGCUGAUGCUCCGUGACCUCGCGGCCACCUCCAACGACGGCAUCUUCCCUCUGUUGCUGCUGUGCGACAUCCUCCUCCGCGUCCCGGCCAAGACCAUCUGCCGCUUCCGCUGCGUGUCCACCUCCUGGAGAUCCCUCCUCCGCCACCCGGACUUCCUUGCCGCCCACAGGGCCCGCCACCGCCGCCCGCUGGCCCCGCUCAUCGCCGCCACCGUGCGCCUGGAUCGCAGCGACGGCAUGGCGAUGGGCGUCAACCUCCUCGACACCUCCGGCAACGUGGUCAAGAAGAUAAGGAGCCACGCCGCCGUGGACAAGAGCUCCCUGCACGGGACGUGCGCGCACGGCGAGCUGGCCUGCCUCAUAGGAAGGACGGACCGGCGCCUCCGCGUGCUCGACGUGGCCACCGGCGCGGCGGCCACCUUCCCGACGCGGCCUCGCGGGGCCCUGACCUGCACGCUCGCCAGGGUGCCCUCCACGGGAGAGUACAAGGUCCUGACCAUCGUCCUCAAAAGACACAAGAGACGGGGCGACGUUUGGUACCACCAGGUCGCCAUGGUCCUAACCCUGGGAAGCCAUGGCGGCGGCAAGUGGAGGGGCAGAGGAAGCCCUCAGGUGAUGGUGCGGCGGCGGCACAGCGACGUGGCCGUCGUCAGGGGCGUCGCCUACUUCUCCAUGGAGUCGUGCCUGCACGGUCACCAGCCAGAGGAGCACGUGAUCGCGGGGUUCGACCUCGAGACCGAGCAAUGGCAGCCGGAUCCCUGGUACGGCCCCGCGGUACGUGACGCCGACGCCGUCGACCACGCCGACAGGAGCCUGGCGGAGGUCAACGGCUUCCUGGUGGCGGCCCACCGCGACAGAGACGCAUGUACCAUCAAGCUGUGGUUCUGGAUGAACGUUGAGAUGGAGACUCGUAAAUGGUUCCCGCUGUACAAGAUCCCCAUGACAGGUCUCAGCUUCGAGAAGCCAUUGCGGGUGCUGGACGACGGCAUGAUCGUCGUCUGGUCGUCGGUGCAUGGGUCCCGCGACGGUGUGCCGCAGAUAUAUGACCCGAGCACGGAGACGUUGACGCAAGGGGCGGUGACGGCCAACUGCUACGCCGUCGGCGCCUACACCGGAUGCGUGCUGCGUGUUGGGGAUCCUCGCAGACACAAGACGCUGGAAUUGCUGGCUGCAGGGAGUUCAGGCGGUUUGAGCAGGACGAUCGAGUAUGGUUAUGGCAGGUGCCGCCGUAAAAAGGCGGCAAUCAUCCAGAGCAUUGCAGCUACUGUGUUUUAA
rnacentral:rRNA from 1 species